CUUAACAAAAUCAGUCAACCUCUAAACGAAGACUUUAAUCACUUACCCUUAACAGAAACAGUGGUCUAAGGCACCUAAAUCACUGAAGGAAUGCCGAACACCUCACGGUCUUCUCCUAACAGCGCAUCAAAAUAAUUAGUCCAACAAACCUACUUUUUUGCGAUGAAACAAUGGCAUAAUAACAUCAAAAUAUUCAAAACCUUACCAAACCUUACAAUAUGCACAACCAAUCCCAACAAUAGAACCACAGAAAAAAACGAUACAAGAUGGCAAAAGAAAACUUUGGGAGUAACAAAUAAAAUCAGCAUAGUUGUUAAUUCACAGCAAUAACAAGAAAGAAAGGAAAGAAGAAAAAUCAAAGAGUAUUUUUUUAUAGCAGUUGACGUGAAACAAAAUGAGAAGAAUGAAGAAAAGUGGGGUGGUGG
rnacentral:lncRNA from 1 species